rnacentral:rRNA from 1 species
UACGGGGGGGGGCAAGCGUUGUUCGGAAUUACUGGGCGUAAAGGGCUCGUAGGCGGCCAACUAAGUCAUACGUGAAAUCCCUCAGCUUAACUGGGGAACUGCGUGUGAUACUGGAUGGCUUGGAUUUGGGAGAGGGAUGCGGAAUUCCAGGUGUAGCGGUGAAAUGCGUAGAUAUCUGGAGGAACACCGGUGGCGAAGGCGGGUCUCUGGGCAGUAACUGACGCUGAGGAGCGAAAGCGUGGGGAGCGAACAGG